rnacentral:rRNA from 1 species
UAGGGAAUUUUCGGCAAUGGGCGAAAGCCUGACCGAGCAACGCCGCGUGAGUGAUGACGGCCUUCGGGUUGUAAAGCUCUGUUGUAAGAAAAGAUAAACUAGAAGAGAAUAUUAGUUAGACAUUAUCUUACCAGAAAGCCCCGGCUAAAUACGUGCCAGCAGCCGCGGUAAUACGUAUGGGGCGAGCGUUGUCCGGAAUUAUUGGGCGUAAAGGGUACGUAGGCGGUCUAUUAAGUCAGGUGUGAAAGCGUGAGGCUUAACCUCAUUAAGCACUUGAAACUGAUAGACUUGAUUGAAGUAGAGGAAAGUGGAAUUCCUAGUGUAGCGGUGAAAUGCGUAGAUAUUAGGAGGAAUACCGGUGGCGAAGGCGUCUUUCUGGACUUUUACUAACGCUCAGGUACGAAAGCGUGGGGAGCUAACAGG